rnacentral:rRNA from 1 species
UACGGGGGGGGGCAAGCGUUGUUCGGAAUUACUGGGCGUAAAGGGCGCGUAGGCGGCCUGCUAAGUCGGAUGUGAAAUCCCUGGGCUCAACCCAGGAACUGCGUCCGAUACUGGUUGGCUUGAAUCCGGGAGAGGGAUGUGGAAUUCCAGGUGUAGCGGUGAAAUGCGUAGAUAUCUGGAGGAACACCGGUGGCGAAGGCGACAUCCUGGACCGGUAUUGACGCUGAGGCGCGAAAGCCAGGGGAGCAAACGGG